GUGCUCACUUCAGCACCACAUAUACUAAAAUUGAAAUGAUACAGAGAUUAGCAUGGCCCCUGCACAGGGAUGAUAUGCAAAUUUGUGAAGCAUUCCAUUUUUUG